UACAGAGGUCUCAAGCGUUGUUCGGAUUCAUUGGGCGUAAAGGGUGCGUAGGUGGCUCGCCAAGUGUUUUGUGAAAUCCCACAGCUCAACUGUGGAACAGCAGGGCAAACUGGCGAGCUUGAGGCAGGUAGGGGCCGGAAGAACAGUUGGUGGAGCGGUGAAAUGCGUAGAUAUCAACUGGAAUGCCGAUGGGGAAGCCGUCCGGCUGGGCCUGUCCUGACACUGAGGCACGAAAGCGUGGGGAGCAAACAGG
rnacentral:rRNA from 1 species